rnacentral:tRNA from 1 species
GGGGCUGGGGCUCAGAGGUAGAGCACAUGCUUUGCAUGUGUGAGGCAUUGGGUUCAAGUCUCAGCACCA